GGAGAGGUACCGAAGUGGCCAUAACGGCGCCGACUCGAAAUCGGAUGGUCUGGGAAACCAGGCACGGGGGUUCGAAUCCCCCCCUCUCCGCCA
rnacentral:tRNA from 1 species